AUUUCUCUUAAAUAAAUAUUCAUGUUAUUGACAUCUGCGAAUUUAAUAUUUAAAAAAGUGACUGAAUAAAAAUGCAAAAGGAAUAAAUUACACACUUUUCAACCGGCAUAUUGCAAAAUUAGAAAUUCCCAAAAACCAGAGUAGCUCGGAUAGUGAAAAAUAUCACUCCAAAAUAGUUAUGCGGGGGACAUGAUUCUAAUUCUUUAUGAAACUCUAUCGACGAUUCCAAAAAUAUUGAGCUUCUAACUGAAUGCAUUGAAUGAAUUCUGUGACUAUUAUAUAGUUGGAAGUAUAUUUACAAUUUGUAACACUUAGUGUAGAUUCGCUAAUUCUAGAAGUUUAUUUAAAUGUUUAAUUUAUAUUAAAUAUAAUUACAAUUUUGCACGGUAUUGGUUUGUUUAUAAGCUGAAGAUGCAUUUCAUGUACAUAAAAUAAUUCAUAUGCAUUAUUUAUGGAAUUAAAUAAUUGGAAUUAUAUAAUUCACUA